rnacentral:lncRNA from 1 species
UGACCCUAAUUCCUAGCUUUUAAUUGGCUAAUUUCAAAUUCCCAUAAUUCCCAAGCACCAAUAUGAGCACCCCAGUAGAAACACUUUAGCACAGCACAGCACCCAGGCAACAAGGCAACAAGGUCUACUACACAGCAUCAAACAGGUCACAUAUGUAUCAGCUCAACACGGAUUAAUCCGUAAGGCUCUAUUCCACAAAUGGGGCUUGAAGUAUGAUAUAUAGUAUCUGAAUAAACCGCACCUCACCCCUACAGCGAGUCAUGUGAUCCUUUGACAUUACUUGGCGUUUAACCAGCU